rnacentral:rRNA from 1 species
ACUCCUACGGGAGGCAGCAGUGAGAAUAUUGGUCAAUGGAGGGAACUCUGAACCAGUCAUCCCGCGUGUAGGAAGACGGCCUUAUGGGUUGUAAACUACUUUUAUACAGGAAGAAACGUACCCUCGUGAGGGUGCCUGACGGUACUGUAGGAAUAAGCACCGGCUAACUCCGUGCCAGCAGCCGCGGUAAUACGGAGGGUGCGAGCGUUAUCCGGAUUUAUUGGGUUUAAAGGGUCCGUAGGCGGAUUAAUAAGUCAGUGGUGAAAUCCCAUCGCUUAACGAUGGAACUGCCAUUGAUACUGUUAGUCUUGAAUGAGGGUGCAGUGGUUGGAAUGUGUAGUGUAGCGGUGAAAUGCAUAGAUAUUACACAGAACACCGAUUGCGAAGGCAGAUCACUAACCCUAAAUUGACGCUGAGGGACGAAAGCGUGGGGAGCGAACAGGAUUAGAUACCCUGUAGACAUCAC